rnacentral:rRNA from 1 species
GUGUCAGCAGCCGCGGUAAUACGGAGGAUCCAAGCGUUGUCCGGAUUUAUUGGGUUUAAAGGGUGCGUAGGCGGAAUAAUAAGUCAGUGGUGAAAGCCUGUAGCUCAACUACAGAACUGCCAUUGAAACUGUUAUUCUUGAGUUAGGUCGAGGUGGAUGGAAUGUAUCAUGUAGCGGUGAAAUGCUUAGAUAUGAUACAGAACACCGAUUGCGAAGGCAGUUCACUAGACCUACACUGACGCUGAGGCACGAAAGCAUGGGGAUCGAACAGGAUUAGAUACCCUGGUAGUCCAUGCUGUAAACGAUGAAUACUCGAUGUUGGCGAUACACUGUCAGCGUUCAAGCGAAAGCAUUAAGUAUUCCACCUGGGGAGUACGAUCGCAAGGUUGAAACUUAAAGGAAUUGACGGGG